rnacentral:rRNA from 1 species
UACAGAGGUCCCAAGCGUUGUUCGGAUUCACUGGGCGUAAAGGGUGCGUAGGCGGUCGGGUAAGUCUGAUGUGAAAUCCCGCAGCUUAACUGCGGAACGGCAUUGGAUACUAUUCGGCUUGAGGAGUGGAGGGGAGACUGGAAUUCUCGGUGUAGCAGUGAAAUGCGUAGAUAUCGAGAGGAACACCUGUGGCGAAGGCGAGUCUCUGGACACUUCCUGACGCUGAGGCACGAAAGCCAGGGGAGCAAACGGGAUUAGAUACCCCGGUAGUCCUGGCCCUAAACGGUGCGCAUUUGCUGUGAGCGGAAUCGACCCCGCUCGUGGCGAAGCUAACGCGUUAAAUGCGCCGCCUGGGAAGUACGGCCGCAAGGUUAAAACUCAAAG